ACGGGUGAGGAACACGUAGGGACCUGCCUUGCAGAGGGGGACAACCCGAGGAAACUCGGGCUAAUACCGCAUGAUACUCUGAGGAGGAAAGGCUUGGUAGAGAUACCAGGCGCUGCGAGAGGGGCCUGCGUCCGAUUAGCUAGUUGGUUAGGUAAAGGCUGACCAAGGCGAUGAUCGGUAGCUGGUCUGAGAGGACGACCAGCCACACUGGGACUGAGACACGGCCCAGACUCCUACGGGAGGCAGCAGUGGGGAAUAUUGGACAAUGGGGGCAACCCUGAUCCAGCGAUGCCGCGUGUGUGAAGAAGGCCUUCGGGUUGUAAAGCACUUUGGUUGGGGAGGAAGGGUAGUAGUUUAAGAGAUGACUAUUUUGACUGUACCCAAAGAACAAGCACCGGCUAACUCUGUGCCAGCAGCCGCGGUAAUACAGAGGGUGCGAGCGUUAAUCGGAAUUACUGGGCGUAAAGGGCGCGUAGGCGGCUUGACAAGACGCAUGUAAAAUACCUGGGCUUAACCUGGGGAGGUCAUGCGUGACUGUAGAGCUAGAGUGCAGUAGAGGGCAGUGGAAUUUCCGGUG
rnacentral:rRNA from 1 species